AUGUAUAUGUGUAUUUGCAUAUGUAAACACGAGCCUUAUAUCUAAAAUAAGCUAACUUGUUAUAAUUUUUUACUGUUAUACAAAAUAGAACUUCAAAAUAUUUUACUUUCAUGCUUUAUUUCUAUGUUCUUCAUUUAAAUCACAUGUUGAAAAUUAUUAUUGAGCCUAUUACAAAAUGAUCAAAUAUACAUAUGCAUCAAUGUGAGAUUACAUGAAAAGCAA
rnacentral:lncRNA from 1 species